AUUGAACGCUGGCGGCGUGCUUAACACAUGCAAGUCGUGCGGUAACAGGCGUAGCAAUACGUGCUGACGAGCGGCGAACGGGUGCGUAAUACAUGGGAAUCUGCCCUUUAGUGGGGAAUAACCCGGCGAAAGCCGGGCUAAUGCCGCAUAAGAUCUUCGGAUGAAAGCGGGGAGUCGUAAGACCUCGCGCUGAUGGAGUGAGCCCACUGUCGG
rnacentral:rRNA from 1 species